CCCUUAGAUGUUCUGGGCCGCACGCGCGCUACACUGAUGCAUUCAACGAGUCUAAAACCUGCUCUGAUAGGGGUGGGUAAUCUUUUGAAUGUGCAUCGUGAUUGGGAUAGAUGAUUGCAAUUUUUCAUCUUCAACGAGGAAUGCCUAGUAAACGCAAGUCAUCAGCUUGCAUUGAUUACGUCCCUGCCCUUUGUACACACCGCCCGUCGCUCCUACCGAUUGAAUGAUCCGAUGAAUAUCAUGGAUUGAGGAUGCAAGCAGGUUCGCCUGUAUUCAUCUUCGAGAAGUGAAGUAAAUCUUAUCAUUUAGAGGAAGGAGAAGUCGUAACA
rnacentral:rRNA from 1 species